CGUAACAAGGUUUCUGUAGGUGAACCUGCAGAAGGAUCAUUAGUGAAAGUUUCGGGCCUGCCAUACGGACGCAAACACGUCUCUGGCGCCCAUCACUAUAUCCAUACCAACCCCUGUGCACUGUGAUGACGAAUGUCAUCGAACAAAAAAAAACUCGUAUGGUUGAAUGUACGUGAAAUUGUAGGUAUAGCCUACGAACUAUACACAACUUUCGACAACGGAUCUCUUGGUUCUCCCAUCGAUGAAGAACGCAGCGAAACGCGAUAGGUAAUGUGAAUUGCAGAAUUCCGUGAAUCAUCGAAUCUUUGAACGCACCUUGCGCUCCAUGGUAUUCCGUGGAGCAUGCCUGUUUGAGUGCCGCGAAUUCUCCCUCCCCUUACGGUGGCCGAAAGGCCGAAGUAGGGCGGACGGGGUAGGAUGGGUGUUUGCUGCCUGGGGAUUGUACCAGGCUCGCCCGAAAUGCAUAAGCGCCAGGACCCUCGCUACCGCUCUCUAGGGAAGAGUGGCUAAGCGACCGCUGAGCAUGGCAUGAUACGUCAUUUGCUGUGUGUGGGCGGCCGGUUGGAGAGGUGUCUGCUUUACCAGCCCUAUUUUAAUUCUGGUCUCAAAUCAGGUAGGAUCACCCGCUGAACCUAAGCAU
rnacentral:misc_RNA from 1 species